GAACAUCGACAUUUUGAACGCAUAUUGCGGUCCAUACUGACUAGUUUCCUAACCGAAGCUGUAUGGACCACACAUGGUUGAGGGUCGUUAGUUUAUGCUAACUGAAUUGCCUUUCGCGAAAGCGUUGCGGCUACAUCAUGAGGCGUUGUCAGCCUUCAGUGCGCUGACAUCCCUUGAAUAUACCUUCUGGGUACACAAUCCUCGUAUUGUGAAGUGCUCGUUUUUAUCAAAGAAAACAGAUAAUUGGAUCACGGUGUCUGAAUGGAAACGUGUCGCCGCCACGCCUGUCCGUGUGCGUGCGCUCGCCCCCAUUGUGCGUGUGCAGAGAACAUCCGAGUGAGACUAGUAAUGAAAUUGA
rnacentral:rRNA from 1 species